UACGAAGGGGGGCUAGCGUUGCUCGGAAUCACUGGGCGUAAAGCGCACGUAGGCGGCUUCUUAAGUCAGGGGUGAAAUCCUGGAGCUCAACUCCAGAACUGCCUUUGAUACUGAGGAGCUCGAGUCCGGGAGAGGUGAGUGGAACUCCGAGUGUAGAGGUGAAAUUCGUAGAUAUUCGGAAGAACACCAGUGGCGAAGGCGGCUCACUGGCCCGGUACUGACGCUGAGGCGCGAAAGCGUGGGGAGCGAACAGG
rnacentral:rRNA from 1 species